UAGGUGAACCUGCGGAAGGAUCAUUAAAUAAUUUAGAUGGCCUUUGCUAGUUUUCUAGCGAAUGGUUCAUUCUUUUUUACUGUGAACUGUUUUAAUUUUUCAGCGUCUGAGGAAUGUCUUUUAGCCAUAGGGAUAGGCUACUAGAAUGUUAACCGAGCUGAAAGUCAGGCUUAGGCCUGGUAUCCUAUUAAUUAUUUACCAAAAGAAUUCAGUAUUAUAAUUGUAACAUAAGCGUAAAAAACUUAUAAAACAACUUUUAACAACGGAUCUCUUGGUUCUCGCAUCGAUGAAGAACGUAGCAAAGUGCGAUAACUAGUGUGAAUUGCAUAUUCAGUGAAUCAUCGAGUCUUUGAACGCAACUUGCGCUCAAUGGUAUUCCAUUGAGCACGCCUGUUUCAGUAUCAAAAACACCCCACAUUCAUAAUUUUGUUGUGAAUGGAAAUGAGAGUUUCGGCUUUAUUGCUGAAUUCUUUAAAAUUAUUAGGCCUGAACUAUUGUUCUUUCUGCCUGAACAUUUUUUUAAUAUAAAGGAAUGCUCUAGUAAAAAGACUAUCUCUGGGGCCUCCCAAAUAAAUCAUUCUUAAAUUUGAUCUGAAAUCAGGCGGGAUUACCCGCUGAACUUAAGCAUAUCAAUAAGCGG
rnacentral:rRNA from 1 species